rnacentral:lncRNA from 1 species
UGGGGACGUGUGUGUGGGGGGGGGGGGGGGGGGAAUCCUCAAAACAAAAGUAUUUUCUUCAAAUAUAAUUAUUUACAAUUUCAAACACAAAUUCUAUUAACUUCUGGACAGAGCGCUUGGACCAGGCGGGGCGGACCGGAACCUCUAAUGGUUCCACCGGAGGUCCAGAGUGGGACCAGGGGAGGCCAGAGUGGGACCAGGGGAGGCCAGAGUGAUGGUGGCAUGGUAACGGUGCUCCUCCAUCCCAUAAUGAUCUGUGCCAUCCAGAUGGAGGCAGCAGCCUCAGCGCUCUGCUGCUGCACCGCGGGGCCCGGAGCUCAGCGCCCCCUGGUGGCCCCCCGGCUCCCUGCAGCAGGGCCAUGGCGUCAGUCAAACCCCAGAACCUCUGCCCCCAUCAGAACCAGAGGAGGGCUGCCCCCCCCCCCCCCCAGACGCCCAGCCGGGGGGGCCUCCAGGCUGUCACUAUGGUAG